rnacentral:rRNA from 1 species
GCUUGUCUCAAAGAUUAAGCCAUGCACGUCUAAGUAUAAGCGAUUAUACUGUGAAACUGCGAAUGGCUCAUUAUAUCAGUUAUAGUUUAUUUGAUGGUCCUUGCUACUUGGAUAACCGUAGUAAUUCUAGAGCUAAUACAUGCAUAAAUCCCCGACUGCUUGGAAGGGGUGUAUUUAUUAGAUGGAAACCAAUUCGGGGUAACCCGGUUUAUGGUGAUUCAUAAUAACCCUCCGAUCGGCUAUGCCGACGCAUCAUUCAAGUUUCUGCCCUAUCAGCUUUGGACGGUAGGGUAUUGGCCUACCGUGGCUUUAACGGGUAACGGAGAAUUAGGGUUCGAUUCCGGAGAGGGAGCCUGAGAAAUGGCUACCACAUCCAAGGAAGGCAGCAGG